rnacentral:rRNA from 1 species
GACACGGCCCAGACUCCUACGGGAGGCAGCAGUGGGGAAUAUUGCGCAAUGGGGGCAACCCUGACGCAGCCAUGCCGCGUGAAUGAAGAAGGCCUUCGGGUUGUAAAGUUCUUUCGGUAGCGAGGAAGGCAUUUAGUUUAAUAGACUAGGUGAUUGACGUUAACUACAGAAGAAGCACCGGCUAACUCCGUGCCAGCAGCCGCGGUAAUACGGAGGGUGCGAGCGUUAAUCGGAAUAACUGGGCGUAAAGGGCACGCAGGCGGUGACUUAAGUGAGGUGUGAAAGCCCCGGGCUUAACCUGGGAAUUGCAUUUCAUACUGGGUCGCUAGAGUACUUUAGGGAGGGGUAGAAUUCCACGUGUAGCGGUGAAAUGCGUAGAGAUGUGGAGGAAUACCGAAGGCGAAGGCAGCCCCUUGGGAAUGUACUGACGCUCAUGUGCGAAAGCGUGGGGAGCAAACAGGAUUAGAUACCCUGGUAGUCCACGCUGUAAACGAUGUCGAUUUGGGGGUUGAGCUUUAAGUUUGGCGCCCGUAGCUAACGUGAUAAAUCGACCGCCUGGGGAGUACGGCCGCAAGGUUAAAACUCAAAUGAAUUGACGGGGGCCCGCACAAGCGGUGGAGCAUGUGGUUUAAUUCGAUGCAACGCGAAGAACCUUACCUACUCUUGACAUCCAGAGAACAUUCCAGAGAUGGAUUGGUGCCUUCGGGAACUCUGAGACAGGUGCUGCAUGGCUGUCGUCAGCUCGUGUUGUGAAAUGUUGGGUUAAGUCCCGCAACGAGCGCAACCCUUAUCCUUUGUUGCCAGCG